UACUGGUUCUGACAUUUAAAGCUCUUCAAGGACAAGCACCAGCCUACAUCAUUGAACUUUUACAGCCCUAUGUCCCUAGUAGGUCCCUGAGGUCUUGUGAUCAGGGACUACUUGUUAUUCAGCAUACUAGGCUGAAAACCAAGGGUGAUAGAGCUUUUGCCACUAUGGCCGCCAGACUGUGGAACUCUCUUCCUCAGAACUUAAGAUCUGCAGACUCAUUGAUUACUUUUAAAAAACAGCUAAAAACACAUCUUUUUAGAAUUGCAUUUUGUUAACUUUGGACUGCUUCUGUUUUAUACCUUGUGAAGCACUUUGUGAUCUUUUAUCUAGAAAUGUGCUAUAUAAAUAAAAUUUUACUUACUUACUUACUUACUUACGUUGCCACACAGACAUCUGGGAAACUAAGCCCAUGGCAACAGAAAUGACACAAAUGUACUCAUGCUUGUCUUCAUUUCACUUCCUUUCUUGUUCUUUGGUCUAAAUAAAACUCAGAAGUAGUUUCAAAGGGCUGUUCAUAUUUAUUUGCGCCGCUUGUGUAAAAGCGUUCAUUGUUGCUGUGGUUUUCCUGUGAAGCUCCUUAAACUGGAACAUCAACCUUUACACAGUCAGACUUUCAGAUGUGUUCUUCACAGUCACAGUAAUCUUCUUCAUCAUGGCUGGACACCUUCUGUUUGUCAUCCUCAUGUCUUUUGUUCAUGAGACUCAAGCGCAAGGUGAGUCAUCGAUGUUCCACUUUUCACAUAGAUUUUCUGUGACUGCAUAUUUGUUUUUUAUUUAAACCAAAAAUUACUUUCAGGUUCAUAAUAAUAGUCAUGAAACUGAGUAUUAAAUAUAACAGAAGUGCUUUUAAUGUCACAUCAGAGUUCACCUGCUGAAGUUAAAGUGAGAUGUUUUUACACUGCAGAACUAAAUUCAACGUCUGCGCACAGUGAACCAUCCUCCAUCACCAUACAAACUAUUCUGGAAAGUGAAUCACCAAAGAUCAACAAACCAUCAUCUAUCAUGACCACAGGAGCAGAAUCAAGUCUCAGCAAUCCCAGUACUUCAACUUCUACCACUUCAGUGAACUCACUAUCAGGAUUGGGUGCUCUUAAUCUCAGCGCUACAACUGGUGUGAACACUCCUGCCAAAACAACUCAGUAUAUAACAUCAGGAGACAGAACUACAGGUGAGACUUCAUUGAGUGCAUCAAUAAUGUGAAGAUAAAUUGUUCCCUUUAAACCAGCGGUCAGCAACCUUUCUGAUGAUGAGUGCCAUCUAAAAUUUCCUCAGAAGUCAAUGUGCCAUAUGAUUGUAUUAGCAAUAAAUUUAAUAACGCUCUAUAUGAACAGUUACACACUAUAUAGAAUAACUUUAUAGAAUUAUAUUUGUUCACAGAUGUUGGCAGCUAUCAGCGAAUAGUUAUCAGCUAAUUUGAAACAAAAAAAAACACUUUUUAUCCAUAACAAGAACUCCAUGACAGCAAAUGAACUGUACAACAGAAAAUGCGAAUGCUAUUUAUGGUCUCCUCACAACAAUGAUAAGAAAAAUAAACUGGGCCAAUAUGGCAUGUUUGUUGAUACAGUGAUACACAUGUUAAUGUCAUCUCUGGUCUCCCACUCAGAGACACAGGUCUCCGAGUGUCCAGCAUUCAUACGGCUACCUGAGGACACUCUUCAUGUGAGAGAAACUCUGCUCACACAGAUAUGUAGAGCCAAAUACUGUCAAUAAGGCCUCUGCAAUGUUCUAAAGACAGUUAACCUUGUGAGGUAGUGAUGUCCAGCAGGUGAAAAUGCAAGCUCCAUGAACACACACAGCUGUGGAUACCAACUGCGUUCGUAGUUAUGCAAACUUUGACCCCCACAGAGUCGAGCUUUUCAGUUCAAUCAGCUGCAUUUCGAUGUCGUCUGUGUCCAGCCAGUUAAUGCGAGACAAAUCCAGCUGCUCAUUAAAGCUUUCUGGUUUGAUCAGAAAAGAAAACAUUGGUCCAUACACCUGAAAGUCCCGAAAACGCAUUGUGAAUUCUGUCUCGAGUCUACAGAUGUAUCCGUGUAUUUCUGUGGUGCUGAUGCUGCGCUGAGCGGGCAGCUCCUUAAGCAUUUGAAGUGUUGGAAUGUGGAAAUUUCAACAUCGCUUGAAAAAACUGCCAGCUAGCAGUUUUUUACCAGUGUAUUAUGAUUAAGUGACCUAUUUUUAGCCAAUUACAAGUUGAAUCUGGUAGUUGGGCUUGUUAGCUAAGAUACCGUCAUUAAGAAGCGGCACAACUAAUGUGUCUAUGCGAGCUAAUUUGUGAUGUGCUGCUGUCAGCUACUUAGAAAAGGAUCCUGGUGUCAUUUGUCUCUCAGAAACAGUUCAUAACUUCCCUUCAAGUCAUUCAUGUCACCUAAAAGGUAAACCUGUUUCUCCAUCACCUGUUCAGCUCUGAUGGUUCAGUAAGGACAUCUCCUGGUUUCACCUUCAUGUUUCCCUCUCACCACAUAUCCCAACCGAUAUCAUGACCAGCAGCUUUACAGCUGUGGCUCCAGCAAACAUCAGCUGAUACUAGAAGUUAAUAUUAAGUAAAUUCUAACAACAGCUGAUC
ensembl:lncRNA